rnacentral:lncRNA from 1 species
CAAAAGAGUAUAAGAAAGAAUUGGAGGAAAUGAAGAAGAGAAUACAAAAGAGACCGUAUCUCUUCGAACAAGUUACCAAGGUAAAACUCAACUACCACUCAUUUUCUUUUCUGCCUGGAUGAAUGUGAACUUAGAAGUUAAGAAACAAUUUUAGUAUGUGGGCACUGAUCAUUUCCUUAAGAUUCAGAUAUUCUAAAUCGAAACACCUUUUAUUACUACAUGUUUCCCCCUUAAAUAUAGGUCUUCAUGGGUUCAGAUGCUCACAAACACCCCACAAGGCUCUUUCUAGAUUAACUUUGGCUUUCAGGUGAAAGAAUCAUUUGAAGAUAUUCUCUAGACUUAAGGGGAAGGUGAACUCAGUUGCGACUUCCCUAAGCAAGUCUGUUCAGCCCACAAAGGAAACCAUCCCAGGCAGUUUGAGAUCAUGUUCUUUAUAUCCCUUUUCCCUUAGUUUCAGACAAUAGUUGGGAUUCCACAGUGGCUGGUUCCAGUUUCUGAGUAUUACCUCCAUCCUGUAGAUAUUGCAGGAUCUAGGCAUGUAGGGGUCCAGGUCCACCCCCUUCCCCAAGCACACCUGUAUGCCACCAACACACUGGACUGACUGGGUUUACUUAGCAACUCACAUUGUUCAAAAUCUCAAGCCGACCUUUCCUCUUUAUGUUAAUUUGUGUCAAGCAGGUUUAGUCUUUAGAUCCCUACAGAUUUUUUCAACACACUAGGAAAAACAGAGUACUACAAUUUUGCUCUUGAAUAAUACUUAAACUAAAACAAGCAAAAAUUAACAUUCACAUACAGAUUAUCAUCCUUAUGUUAAGAAUGUUCUCAAUGCACCUUACUUUCUUCUGUCUUGGUGUUCCUAAGAAUGGUUUGGUUGCUUUUAAAUCAUAAACUGCUGGGUGCAGUGGUGCCCAUCUAUAACCCCAGCAACUCAGUAGGCUGAAGCAGAAUCAAAAGUUCAAAGCCAGUCUCAGCAAUUUAAUGAGGCCCUGAGUUAGCCAGACCCUGUUUCAAAAUUUUAAAAAAAGGACUGGAGAUGUUACUUAGUGGUAAAGCGCCCCAGGUUUAAUCCCCAGUGCCAAAAAAUAAGAAAAUGAAAAUAAAUAAAGAACUUUAAAUCUUAAAAUGGUUUUAGUCCCCCAUUUUUCAUCUGAGUUUCACUUCAUCUCCCACAAAUUCAAGUCCUCGUUUUUAAAGGUGUGGUUCCCAAAUUAAUAGUUGGCUUCUCCUGAAGACAUAGAGUUGCUAGAGUUGCAGGCCUCUUCUGCAAUUGGAACCGGAUUUGAAAAAUGAUCUGUUUCAAACUAAAGAAAUCUAAAUCUAAUAUCAGUGGUUAUAUUUUAUUCACAGCCACACUAUGCCUAAUUCAAAUGUGUUGUAUGGCCAUCCCAGAUUUUGAUUUCAAAAUAAGUGGUGGUUUUAAAGGUUCCUCCCAGUGAUGUUGCUGAAGAUAACAAUUUAGAGCUGCAGAGUGACAGCAGCAUCUCAGAUUAACAUUAUGCAUUUUAACAAGAUCCUCUGGGGCUCAAUUGUACAUUAAAGCUUGAAAAACAUUAAUUUUUAUGCAAAUCUGUCAAGCACUAAGUUUUGGAGGUGGUGGUAGGGACAUUAUUGUAGAGAUACUGAUUAAGAUGGCAAUUCACAAGAUAGCUACAGCAGAUUAAUUUCUAUCCUUCAGGACCUUGCCAGGAAAGAAGCAGAACAACGGUAUCGAGACACCCUGAAGCAGGCUGGACUGGAGGAAGACUUUGUGAGGAACAAGAGUCGAGGCACCCGGGCUGUACAAUGGAAGGAGGAGUCUAAUGCCAAGGAUUCCCCCAGGUAAAGUGAAAGGGAGAAAAGGAUAGCAUCUCCAUUAUUCUCAAUUCUGUUUCUCAAGUUCCAGUAUAUCCUCCACUAAUUCCUGUUUUCCCCUUAGACACGGUGCUUUAUAGCCAGGCAUGGUGGCACAUGUGUGCAAUCCAUAAAAUUUGGGAUUAUUAAGGCAGGAGGAUUGCAAGUUCAAGGCCAGCCUCAGCCAUUUAGUAAAACCCUGCCUCAGAAUAUAAAAAGGAGUAGAAAUGUAGCUCAGUGGUAAAGUACCCUGGGUUCAAUUCCCAAAAACAAAACAGAAAUGUCUCUUUAUAGCCAAGCAUCAUAUGCCAGUAAUCCCAGUGACUCAGGAAGCUAAGGUAGGAGAAUCACCAGUUUGAGACCAAUCUGUGUAACUUAGUGAGAUCUAAGGGGCUGGAGUUGUGGCUCAGUGGUAGAGUGCUUGCCUGGCAUAUGUGAGGCCCUGGGUUCGAUCCUCAGUACCACAUAUAAAUAAAUAAAAGACCCACUGACAACUAAAAAAUAUUGGAAAAAAAAAAAAAAAGAGAGCUAGAAAUGUAGCUCAGUGGACUGCCCUUACUAAGUUCAAUCCCUCAUACAGGGGGGAAAAAAAAGUUGAGGCCAUUCUUAAACUUUAUACAUUGCUUCCUUUAAUUUAAAAUAUUCUGUUUCAUAAUGUUUUCAUUUACUUUGCAGCAUCUAUGAAACUACAAACCUCAGCAUCAAUGAUCCACAGAAGGAUUUAGAAGGAUCUCUAGAAUAGCUUCUAAGCCCCCAAAAAGAAUCGGAGGAGCUGUAUUAUGAAUCAUCAGACCAUCUGAAAUCACUGGCCUAAUCAGCUCAUGUAACAUUACUGCUUUUGCGCAUCAAAUAUCUCACUAGGGGUUGAGUCAAGGCAGGCAAAACUUGAGUUUGAAUAUUGCUACUAUUAGAGAAUAAGGAAAAGAAGAGUGACAGAUAACAGGAAUGUUUUUAAAGAAUCAAAUUAGAGAAGCUCAGGAUAGAAGGAUCAUAACCCAGACCUAAGGGGUCUUACUUUGUACCUGACAUUUAAGAGCAACUAUAGAAAAAAGAACACAAGCCAAAAUGCUAAUCAGGGCUGUUCAGGAAACAUGAGUGAGUUAAAUGGGGUAGAUAUAAGAUAGGAGAUAGUAAGGAACCAGAGAGCAUAAAUCCUGUUAGAAUACAGGCCCAGAAUUACAACAUCAGCUAUUGUCAUCAGAAGCCAGAAAUGU